UGUUUUUGUUCGUUUAUUUAUUUUUUGCUAUGCUUUUCUUUCUUGCUAUGGGAAACUGAUGGAAUUCUCCAUUGUAUUUCCAACUACCAUUUAUUAAUCUUCAAUUUUUUGCUUUUUAUUUUCUUGUUUGAGUAAACAGUCUCUUUCUUUUCAAUCUUUUCUUUACUCCAAAAGUUUGUUUUGACUCUGCAGCAGUGCAAGUGGGUGCUUUGUGCUUCAUUUUUGGAGUUUCUUUGUACUUUAAUAUGAAUAUAUUUUUUUUAAUGUUUUUACUGGUUGAAGAAUUGGGUCUGGAUCUGGGACUUCAGUUUCAUGGUUGUUCUUCAUCAAAGUUUUUUCAACUUAGUUUCGUGCUCUUUUCGGUUUUGACUUUUUCAGUGAAUUUUAAGUGAGAAAACUGAGUUAUGUUUCUUCAAGAAAUUUCGGUACUGUUUAAUUUUGGACUUUGUCUUGGUCUUAUUGCUGAGAAAUAUGGAGAAAACAAAGGCUAGAAAAUUUUGGUUUAUUUUUUAUGUUGUUUAGUCGAGACAACCUGACUUCCUUUACCUUUCAUAUCUCUUCUGUUUAAGCUUUUUGCAAAUUCAGCUGUUUAUUAUGGUUUCCAAAUCCAGUAAAUGUUUCUUAGUGGCUUUUGAUUUUAUUUCUUUCAUAUAAAAAAUUUGCAAAGCUUAAGAUGUUUGAUAAGUUCUUAAAACCUUAGAAAUUCUUUUAGCUUAAGCCUUUGUAAUAUGCAUGAUUGCAUAUAGAAGUUCCCCCUUUUCCAGCUUGUCCAGCUAGAGAGAGUCCAGAAUCUGUGGUGAGUUUUUGGUGAAUAACAAGCUCCAUUUAGAAUGAAAAAUAGAGAUAUGGGAUUGUAAAGGUUUUCUGGAUUUUUUUUUGGUGUACUUGUCAUCUGGAUCAAAGUUGUUUAUCUAGCAUUGCAUGUGAUAUUACUUCUUUUCGGUAUGAAUGCUUACAAAAUUAUGUUUUGUGGACGUAUACUAUCUUGUCAUGAAUUCUAAGCAGUUCACUUGAUGUUUUGACUUUUACUUCUCCUUGUAUGUUUUUUAGUAUCCGAGUUCAAUUCUUGUCUGUUGAAAGGUAAUUCCAUCUCCUUCGUUCAUGUUUGAAAGAAACCCAUAUUUCUGUGAGUAAUACUAUAUAGAUCCCUUUGUGUUUUUGGUGCUAUUCAUGGCGAUCUGAAUAUUGUUUUGCUUGGACUGUCCGUGUCAUAAAUGAUGAUGUUUAUGAAAUGUAAGAUAUUGGUGGCUUUGAAGAAACGUUGUUAGAUGUCACUAUGUGCAUAAAGAUUUUGUGCAUAGAGUAUAAUAAGUAGCUAUGAAUGGUUUCUGCUGGAGUUGCAUGAUUCUUUUUCUGACAUUUUUUAUCUUUAAUUUUUCAGGAUUGUUAGAACUAUGAGUUUUGGAUGCAAUUCUACUGCUUUAGGGUCAAUGGAAACUGAAUUUAUGGAGUUCAAUGACAUUUAUAUUAUUUUGAGAUUGAAAACAGCUUGGUACUUUCUCAAUUAUUUUACUUUGAGAUUUGACACAUUAUCAAUUGACAACGAGAGAGAGCACGCUCGUUGGCAUUCUUGCAAGGACAUGGAUGUGUACAAGCGUGCUCUCUAUCGUUGUCAUAUGAUAUGUACAAAGCUGUCUUUUCUCAAUUUCUUAGUCUGUUGCUGCAAUGGCUAGCAGAGAGCUUUGGUUAAGGCUUGUUGGCAAAUUUUCAAGCGACAGUUGAUUGUAAUUCAGAUAACAUCAGCUAUAUGGGGAAAAUGCCUGAAGGAGGCUGAGGACUUUUUCCACACUCCUUGUCAUUCCUUUCUUUCCAAAUAAAGCAGACUGCAUGACCAAGCAACCUCAAGAAUGAUUGCUAAUGAGGUUUUAUCUCUUAAUGAAUUUUUUGCCAGCAAAACUUAUAAUCCCUGGCCCUAGUCUCUGCCUGUUCUUACUUCUUUACACAUAUCUAGCAAUUUUUGCCUAUAAAGAUCAGCCUGCUUAGUUAAUGAUGAGUAGUGAGUUACAUGUGCACACUAUAAUAGGCCAUUGUUCUUGUUUACUUAACCACUCAUACGGCUUACAUAGCUAACUUGCCAGAAGAGACAACCUCUAUAAGUAGAGACAACACGAUUCCUAUGUGCAAUUCACUUGGUAGAAAGCGUGGACAAAGAGGCUUUGGUACCUUGUUAAGAACCAGUUAACCUGAAACCUGGAGAUGUUAGGUGAGGUUUCAAUAAGAAAUUUUACUCUCAAUGCAUUAAGGCUUCCCAAGCUUGUGUUGUAGUUGAUUGGUACCAGAACUUAGGUAUUAGAAACUCUUUCUUUUUUCUUGUUUCUUUCCUUUGUGCCUGGUGGGGUAAGUCUGCAUGCAUGGACUCUCUUGUAUUCUGCAUGUAUCCCUACUGCCCCUUUUUAAUGUUGAUAAUUGGUUUGUUUUCCCUUUCUUUUUUUAUC
rnacentral:sRNA from 1 species